rnacentral:misc_RNA from 1 species
GCAUGUGAGUGGUGAUGGAUCUGUAUGCCGUGGUAGGCUCCCUGCUAUUGUGCAGCUAGCUGCCGACGCUGCAAGUCUCUUCAAUCUCUCUUUGUUUGCACGGAGAUGUGUGUGUUGCCUGUACAAUCUACCUAGUUCCUUUGGAAAUUGACAUUGUUUAACUUGCUUAUCCACUUCUCAUGUGCUAUGCGGUUGAGGAGUGUCGAUGUCCGUGCACCUUGUGUGUCCUCGAACGAUGGCAUGUCCAAGACCCCUCGUCUCGAGUGGCUCCGGUGUUCACGUGAGUGCUCUUGGAUGCAGUGGAUAGGAAUGUCCCAUGGGUCUUUUGACUCUUGGCACACGAUCGGUUGGCUUUCUUAGUCGCCCUUCGACGGAUGACCGCCUUCCCAUCGUUGCUCCCCUUUCCCUUGUGGUAAUGGGUUGGCAUGUUGGGCUUGGCGUCGUUGAGGACGUGCUACC